CUUGGCCUCACGUUCCUCCUGGGAAACAACUCCUGGCCUUCGGCGCGGUGCACUGCAGGAGCGGCGGGAGCAAGUGUCAUUCAAGGAUGUAUGCGUGGAUUUCACCAAGGAAGAGUGGUAUUUGCUGGACCCUGCCCAGAAGGUGCUUUACAGAGAUGUGAUCCUGGAGAAUUAUAGCAACUUUGUCUCAGGCAUUGUGUUACUAAGCCAGAUGUAAUCUUCAAGAUAGAGCAAGGAGAAGAUCCCUGGAUACCAGAAAAUGGAUUCCGAUGC